ACAGAAAAACAAAGAUAACGUCAGUAUCGCAAAAGGUGGUUUUAUGGCCCUGCAGCAGCACCUAACAGACAUCAAUGUGGAGGGACCAGACAACUAUGUCCACUGGAUAGUCAGCACCUCUGGAUCAGCUGAAGGAGAGUUGCUGAGCACCACAGGGAUAUAAAGGAUCAAGUCUCU